CACUGGAGUAGACGAUGAUACUGAUACUCUACUGCAUACUGUACAGGUAAUGGACAUCCUAUACGUAUAGAUGAGCUACACGUGAUACCUAUCAUCUACAGUAUACUGUGUAGCGAUACUCUAUUAGUAGCAUCACCGUAGUAGUGGUACACUGUUAUGCAUACAUACAUGUACAUAGUACAAUGCUUAUCAUGAUACUACUACCUACUAGUGGAUGUGUACUGUAUACUCUAUAGAGCAUGCAGAUAUACUACUACUAGCAAUGCACUCAUUGUAUGACACCAUCGUAUGUAUUGACUACUACUACUAACUAGUACAUGAUACUGUUACAGUGUAUGCAAUACCUAUCAUGAUGUGUAUACACGUGUGUAGUAUACUACUGAUACAUCGUACUAAGCACUAUCCUAUACAGAUAGCAUCACAGCAUGUACUACAUAUACUACUAAGUACUACGUGUGUAUAGUGUAUGGGUGAUACUGUAGCGGGAUGAUUACUAGGACGUAUAGUAUGUACGAAUCACGUGCUUUUUUUUUUUUUUUUUUUUUUUUUUUUUUUGUCCUAUACGCAUCGGUACAACUAAGACACUGUCCCUCCCACUAUCGUGUUAACUAGCGGCCGGAGAUCCUGUUGGUGGCAGAGAUGCCGUAUCGAUUGCCUUCGGGCAUGGUGCUUCACUCAAGAUGUUCAAGUACGGGAGGGCUAACACGCAGUACCAGUACUCACUCCAUCGUCGUCUCUAUCACAGGUACUUGACACCAUGCUCUGACCACCUGUAUCCGUGGCUCUCGCUGUCGUUGAUGGGUUUAGGCACCAGUGUUGGAUGCCUCUGUGUCUAGUGUGUACUACCUCAAGACUGUGCACAGUACUACGUAAGGACACCGUACACUCAGGAUCCAAAAAAAAAAAAAA
rnacentral:rRNA from 1 species